rnacentral:rRNA from 1 species
UACGAAGGGUGCAAGCGUUACUCGGAAUUACUGGGCGUAAAGCGUGCGUAGGUGGUUCGUUAAGUCUGAUGUGAAAGCCCUGGGCUCAACCUGGGAAUUGCAGUCGAUACUACUCAGCUAGAGUAUGGGAGAGGGUAGUGGAAUUCCCGGUGUAGCGGUGAAAUGCGUAGAUAUCGGGAGGAACAUCAGUGGCGAAGGCGGCUACCUGGCCCAACACUGACACUCAGGUGCGACAGCGUGGGGAGCAAACAGG